CAUAUCAAUAAGCGGAGGAAAAGAAACUAACAAGGAUUCCCCUAGUAACUGCGAGUGAAGCGGGAAAAGCUCAAAUUUAAAAUCUGGUAGUCUCUGGCUGCCCGAGUUGUAAUCUAGAGAAGUGUUAUCCGCGCUGGACCGUGUACAAGUCUCCUGGAAUGGAGCGUCAUAGAGGGUGAGAAUCCCGUCUUUGACACGGACUACCAGGGCUUUUGUGAUGCGCUCUCAAAGAGUCGAGUUGUUUGGGAAUGCAGCUCUAAAUGGGUGGUAAAUUCCAUCUAAAGCUAAAUAUUGGCGAGAGACCGAUAGCGAACAAGUACCGUGAGGGAAAGAUGAAAAGAACUUUGGAAAGAGAGUUAAACAGUACGUGAAAUUGUUGAAAGGGAAACGCUUGAAGUCAGUCGCGUUGGCCAGGAAUCAGCCUUGCUUUUGCUUGGUGUAUUUCCUGGCUGAUGGGUCAGCAUCAAUUUUGACCGGUGGAAAAAGGUCAGGGGAAUGUGGCAUCUUCGGAUGUGUUAUAGCCUCUGGUCGUAUACAUCGGUUGGGAUUGAGGAACUCAGCACGCCGCAAGGUCGGGUUUUUAACCACGUUCGUGCUUAGGAUGCUGGCAUAAUGGCUUUAAUCGACCCGUCUUGAAACACGGACCAAGGAGUCUAACAUGCCUGCGAGUGUUUGGGUGGAAAACCCGAGCGCGUAAUGAAAGUGAAAGUUGAGAUCCCUGUCGUGGGGAGCAUCGACGCCCGGACCAGACCUUCUGUGACGGCUCCGCGGUAGAGCAUGUAUGUUGGGACCCGAAAGAUGGUGAACUAUGCCUGAAUAGGGUGAAGCCAGAGGAAACUCUGGUGGAGGCUCGUAGCGAUUCUGACGUGCAAAUCGAUCGUCAAAUUUGGGUAUAGGGGCGAAAGACUA
rnacentral:rRNA from 1 species